rnacentral:rRNA from 1 species
GACGAACGCUGGCGGCGUGCUUAACACAUGCAAGUCGAACGAAGAGCGAUGGAAGCUUGCUUCUAUCAAUCUUAGUGGCGAACGGGUGAGUAACGCGUAAUCAACCUGCCCUUCAGAGGGGGACAACAGUUGGAAACGACUGCUAAUACCGCAUACGAUCUAAUCUCGGCAUCGAGGAAAGAUGAAAGGUGGCCUCUAUUUAUAAGCUAUCACUGAAGGAGGGGAUUGCGUCUGAUUAGCUAGUUGGAGGGGUAACGGCCCACCAAGGCGAUGAUCAGUAGCCGGUCUGAGAGGAUGAACGGCCACAUUGGGACUGAGACACGGCCCAGACUCCUACGGGAGGCAGCAGUGGGGAAUCUUCCGCAAUGGACGAAAGUCUGACGGAGCAACGCCGCGUGAGCGAUGACGGCCUUCGGGUUGUAAAGCUCUGUUAAUCGGGACGAAAGGCCUUCUUGCGAACAGUAGAAGGAUUGAC